rnacentral:rRNA from 1 species
GAUGAACGCUAGCGGCAGGCUUAAUACAUGCAAGUCGAGGGGCAGCAUGGUGUAGCAAUACACUGAUGGCGACCGGCAAACGGGUGCGGAACACGUACGCAACUUACCCAAAACUGGGGAAUAGCCCGGGGAAACCCGGAUUAAUACCUCGUAACAUAAUUGAGAGGCAUCACUUGCUUAUUAUAGCUCCGGAGGUUUUGGAUGGGCGUGCGUCGGAUUAGGUAGGUGGCGGGGUAACGGCACACCAAGCCUAGGAUCAGUAACUGGUGUGAGAGACCGACCAGGCACACGGGAGAUGAGACACGGGCCCGACUCCUACGGGAGGCAGCAGUAAGGAAUAUUGGUCAAGGGACGCAAGUCUGAACCAGCCAUGCCGCGUGAAGGAUGAAGGUCCUCUGGAUUGUAAACUUCUUUUAUAUGGGAAGAAAUCCAUCUUUUCUUGGGUGGUCGACGGUACCAUAGGAAUAAGCACCGGCUGACUCCGUGCCAGCAGCCGCGGUAACAC